rnacentral:lncRNA from 1 species
AUUCAACAGGCAAAAAUCGCUGUUACUGAGAGUAAGAAACAUUUUUUUUUUUCAAGUUUGCUUUUGCUCUCCUGUCUUUCAGGACUGUGUGUUUUCAGCCACUUUCUGCUAGCUUGGAGCAAAUGCGUGGACAUUCUCCUUUGGAGACAGGCUAUGGAUGGAGUCAAAGAACUUAAGAUGAAGAGUUUCUGCAAAAAUACAGCCGAGAGGGUCUUGCACUUCUCAGAAUCUGUCCUGUAGAGAAACUCAGGAAUGUGCAAGGAUAAACUGACAAGGAAGUUAAACAAGUGCUAGCCCACCCAUGUUCAAGACUAUGUGAUUAUUAAUGGUGCAGAUCUAUGUAUUGAUAAGGA